AGAGUUUGAUCAUGGCUCAGGACGAACGCUGGCGGCAGGCUUAACACAUGCAAGUCGAACGAACUCUUCGGAGUGAGUGGCAGACGGGUGCGUAACACGUGGGAACCUACCUUGAGGUACGGAAUAACGCCGAGAAAUUGGUGCUAAUACCGUAUAUGUCUUCGGAUGAAAGAUUUAUCGCCUUAAGAUGGGCCCGCGGUUGAUUAGCUAGUUGGUGAGGUAACGGCUUACCAAGGCGACGAUCAAUAGCUGGUCUGAGAGGAUGAUCAGCCACACUGGAACUGAGACACGGUCCAGACUCCUACGGGAGGCAGCAGUGAGGAAUAUUGGACAAUGGGCGAAAGCCUGACCCAGCCAUGCCGCGUGAGUGAUGAAGGCCUUAGGGUUGUAAAACUCUUUCACCGGUGAAGAUAAUGACGGUAACCGGAGAAGAAGCCCCGGCUAAUUUCGUGCCAGCAGCCGCGGUAAUACGAAAGGGGCUAGCGUUGUUCGGAAUUACUGGGCGUAAAGCGCGCGUAGGCGGGCCAGAAAGUUGGGGGUGAAAUCCCGGGGCUCAACCCCGGAACUGCCUCCAAAACUACUGGUCUAGAGGAUGUGAGAGGAUAGUGGAAUUCCAAGUGUAGAGGUGAAAUUCGUAGAUAUUUGGAAGA
rnacentral:rRNA from 1 species